rnacentral:rRNA from 1 species
GAUUGUAACGCGUGGAUAACCUGCCUGGUAGACCGGGAUAACAGCUGGAAACGGCUGCUAAUACCGGAUACGCUCGGGAGUUCGCAUGAACACUCGAGGAAAGCUUUCGUGCUAUCAGAUGGGUCCGCGUCCCAUUAGCUAGUUGGUGGUGUAAAGGACCACCAAGGCGACGAUGGGUAGCCGGCCUGAGAGGGCGACCGGCCACACUGGGACUGAGACACGGCCCAGACUCCUACGGGAGGCAGCAGUGGGGAAUCUUCCGCAAUGGGCGAAAGCCUGACGGAGCAACGCCGCGUGAGGGAAGAAGGCCUUCGGGUUGUAAACCUCUGUUUUUAGGGACGAAGAAAGUGACGGUACCUAAAGAGUAAGCUCCGGCUAACUACGUGCCAGCAGCCGCGGUAAUACGUAGGGAGCGAGCGUUGUCCGGAAUUACUGGGCGUAAAGGGCGCGUAGGUGGUCCAUUAAGUUACUGGUGAAAGUUCGGGGCUUAACCCCGUGAUUGCCUGUAAUACUGGUGGACUUGAGUGCAGGAGAGGGGAGUGGAAUUCCCAGUGUAGCGGUGAAAUGCGUAGAUAUUGGGAGGAACACCAGUGGCGAAGGCGGCUCUCUGGACUGUAACUGACACUGAGGCGCGAAAGCGUGGGGAGCAAACAGGAUUAGAUACCCUGGUAGUCCACGCCGUAAACGAUGAGUGCUAGGUGUUGCGGGUAUCGACCCCUGCAGUGCCGUAGUUAACACAAUAAGCACUCCGCCUGGGGAGUACGGUCGCAAGACUGAAACUCAAAGGAAUUGACGGGGGCCCGCACAAGCGGUGGAGUAUGUGGUUUAAUUCGACGCAACGCGAAGAACCUUACCAGGGCUUGACAUCCUCUG